UACGUAGGGGUGCAAGCGUUUGUCCGGAAUUAUUGGGCGUAAAGAGCUCGUAGGCGGUCUGUCGCGUCGGCUGUGAAAACCUAGGGCUUAACCCUGGGCCUGCAGUGGAUACGGGCAGACUAGAGGUAGGUAGGGGAGAAUGGAAUUCCCGGUGUAGCGGUGAAAUGCGCAGAUAUCGGGAGGAACACCGGUGGCGAAGGCGGUUCUCUGGGCCUUACCUGACACUGAGGAGCGAAAGCGUGGGGAGCGAACAGG
rnacentral:rRNA from 1 species